rfam:Hordeum vulgare subsp. vulgare, WGS project CAJW01000000 data, contig: morex_contig_40430
GUUAUACUCCCUCUGUCCGGAAUUACUUGUCGCAAAAAUGNAUAAAAUUGGAUGUAUCUAGAACUAAAUACAUCUAGAUACAUCUAUCUCCAUGACAAGUAUUUCCAGACGGAGGGAGUAUGUU